AUUGAACGCUGGCGGCAUGCCUAACACAUGCAAGUCGAGCGGAUGAAGGGGGCUUGCUCCUGGAUUCAGCGGCGGACGGGUGGGUAAUGCCUAGGUAUCUGCCUGGUAGUGGGGGAUAACGUCGGGAAACGGGCGCGAAUACCGCAUACGUUCCGAGGGAGAACGUGGGGGUUCUUCGGAUCUCAGGCAACCAGAUUCUCCUAGGUCGGAUUAGGUUGUUGGUGGGGCAAAGGCCUGCGAAGGCGACGAUCCGUAACUGGUCUGAGAGGAUGAGCAGGCACACUGGAACUGAGACACGGUCCAGACUCCUACGGGUGGCAGCAGUGGGGAAUAUUGGACAAUGGGCGAAAGCCUGAUCCAGACAUGCCGCGUGUGUGAAGAAGGUCUUCGGAUUGUAAAGCACUUUAAGUUGGGAGGAAGGGCAGUAAGUUAAUACCUUGCUGUUUUGACGUUACCAACAGAAUAAGCACCGGCUAACUUCGUG
rnacentral:rRNA from 1 species